rnacentral:rRNA from 1 species
CUACGGGUUGCACCAGUGAGGAAUAUUGCACAAUGGGGGGAACCCUGAUGCAGCAACGCCGCGUGGAGGAUGACGCAUUUCGGUGUGUAAACCCCUUUUAUAUGUCAAGAAAAUGACGGUAGCAUAUGAAUAAGCACCGGCUAACUCCGUGCCAGCAGCCGCGGUAAUACGGAGGGUGCAAGCGUUACUCGGAAUCACUGGGCGUAAAGGACGCGUAGGCGGGUUGGAAAGUCAGGUGUGAAAUCUUACAGCUUAACUGUAGAACUGCACUUGAAACUUCUAAUCUAGAGUAUGGGAGGGGGAGAUGGAAUUAGUGGUGUAGGGGUAAAAUCCGUAGAUAUCACUAGGAAUACCUAAAGCGAAGGCGAUCUCCUGGAACAUUACUGACGCUAAGGCGUGAAAGCGUGGGGAGCAAACAGGAUUAGAUACCCCAGUAGUC